GUGGACAUAGUUUAGCCAAAACGUUAGAUUGUGAUUCUGGAAAUAGGGGUUCAAACCCCCUUGUCCACC
rnacentral:tRNA from 1 species